GUGGGUCAUUUGAGUAAAAAAGCCUUGUGCUUCUAUCUGUUUUCUCGGGAAAAUCUUGCCCUAGCGUUUUCGCUAUGAGAUUUCACAGAGGAGGAACAGAGAUGAAGAUUGCUAUCGAAGGUAGUAUGUAUAUGUACGGCUAGCUUGACAGUGUGUGUAUAAGUCGAUUCAGUAUCACUAAUGAGUUCACAACGCCCAAAUCGAUCUUCUCUGCUGCGGCCAUUUCCAGGUAACCGUACAGAUUUCGAUCUUCCGAGAAAAUCUAUUCGAUCGUGUUUCUUUGGUUUUGAAAAGCGGUUUGCUUUCUUUUCAAACUGGUGGAAAAUUACCCAGAGAGAGAAACGAGAUAUACACGAAAUCGGGUCAAGAAGCAGAGAUACCAAACGGAUGGAAUCCGAUCCAGUUUUUUUCUUCAUGAACCAAUCGUUUAUGGUUGGGUUAAACAACACAUUCUUCUUCUGAAAUUAAAGAAUCCAUUCCCAAAUGCUUCUGGAGUGUAUUCAGUAGACAAAUCCAAAUGGUUAGGUUGAGUUUGUGGAUCGAGAAGCAAAAUCCUUUCCCUCCUCUACAGAUUGGUAAGGAUUGAGGGGUGGACUCGCGGAAGCAAAUCCGCGUCUAUAUCGCCAGUGAAUCCGAAGGCUCGGUACGAGUUUUCUGCUCAUCCGUGCCCGUGGUUUGCUGCUUCUGUUCAACCGCGGAGAAGAUGGAUCUGUGACGGGAGUCUCUUGCCCUCGAUAAAAGCCUCUAGGGGCAAAAGGUUUUUGCAACAGCCACUUGUUCCUGCAUCUUCUGUGGUUCGGCAUGAUGAGAGACUGGUUAGGCUAUCACGAGCAAGUUCAAUCCUGUUUUUCCCGUCGAGUCUACUUUGAUGAUCUUACUUAUUUCCUCGGUAGCUAUCAUCGAUCUUUUGUACCGAGUUGACAUGGUUGAGGUAAAACCGAUCAGGGCUCGGCUUCAACCACAUGGUCCGCACUUAGCUCAGGCGAUCCACUAACCGAUGGUUCAGGCUAUAAGAUCGUCUCUCUCGAUACAUGAAUGAUCCCUGCUGUUGAUCAUUGGCAGAUUGUUGAGAGAAUGCUUUAAUACCUAGGAGGCACCCGGCAUAAAGGUUUCUUUUCUCUCCGCUCGUAAUCCCCCGUCUCUCUACAUGUCUCGGGUGAGGGUGAUCGGGAUGACCUCUUCUCCACCGGUACACACAUUGUCUAUAAUGGUAAACACCACAUUCCUCGUCUUCCGAAGAAAGAGCAGAAGCGACUCGCACCACGGUCUUCCACAGAAUCCGAGUACCGAUCGUCACCUUAGGUCUCGCGCUCACCGAACCACUAUGGCGAGCUCAGUUACAUAUCUUGGAUUCUUGAGGGUGUAUAAAAGUGUAAAGGGAUGAUUGUCUUUAUAUUAAUAUUUUUAAUCUAUAAUUUCUAUUUUAUUUUCUCUAUAAAUUAUUUUUUUACUAUUCUGUAAUGUAUAAAAUACACGAGAACCCAAUUUCAUUGUA